GACGAACGCUGGCGGCGUGCCUAAUACAUGCAAGUCGAGCGCAGGAAACUGACGGAACUCUUCGGAGGGAAGGCAGUGGAAUGAGCGGCGGACGGGUGAGUAACACGUAAGGAACCUGCCUCAAGGAUUGGGAUAACUACGAGAAAUCGGAGCUAAUACCGGAUAGUUCAACGGACCGCAUGGUCCGCUGAUGAAAGGCGCCUCGGUGUCACCUUGAGAUGGCCUUGCGGUGCAUUAGCUAGUUGGUGGGGUAACGGCCCACCAAGGCGACGAUGCAUAGCCGACCUGAGAGGGUGAUCGGCCACACUGGGACUGAGACACGGCCCAGACUCCUACGGGAGGCAGCAGUAGGGAAUCUUCCACAAUGGACGAAAGUCUGAUGGAGCAACGCCGCGUGAGUGAUGAAGGUUUUCGGAUCGUAAAACUCUGUUGUAAGGGAAGAACACGUACGAGAGGAAAUGCUCGUACCCUGACGGUACCUUACGAGAAAGCCACGGCUAACUACGUGCCAGCCGCCGCAGUAA
rnacentral:rRNA from 1 species